UACGGAGGGUGCAAACGUUGUCCGGAAUCACUGGGCGUAAAGCGCACGUAGGCGGAUCGUUAAGUCGGGGGUGAAAUCCCAGGGCUCAACCCUGGAGCUGCCUUCGAUACUGGCGAUCUUCGAGUCCGGGAGAGGUGAGUGGAACUCCGAGUGUAGAGGUGAAAUUCGUAGAUAUUCGGAAGAACACCAGUGGCGAAGGCGGCUCACUGGCCCGGUACUGACGCUGAGGUGCGAAAGCGUGGGGAGCAAACAGG
rnacentral:rRNA from 1 species